CCCUUAGAUGCUCUGGGCCGCACGCGCGCUACACUGGUCGAUGCAACGAGUUUCUUUCCUUGGCCGACAGGCCUGGGCAAUCUUUGAACAUCGAUCGUGAUCGGGAUAGAUUCUUGUAAUUUUUGAUCUUAAACGAGGAAUUCCUAGUAAACGCAAGUCAUCAGCUUGCGUUGAUUACGUCCCUGCCCUUUGUACACACCGCCCGUCGCUCCUACCGAUUGAAUGGUCCGGUGAAGCGUUCGGACCGUGGCCUUUGGACGGUUCGCCGUCUGUUGGCUGCGGGAAGUUCGUUAAACCUUAUCAUUUAGAGGAAGGAGAANUCGUAACA
rnacentral:rRNA from 1 species